rnacentral:SRP_RNA from 1 species
GCUGGGCAUGGUGGGGCAUGCCUGUAAUCCCAGCUACUCAGGAGGCUGAGGCAGGAGAAUUGCUUGAACCCGGGAGGAGGAGGUUGCAGUGAGCUGAGAUCGCGCCACUGCACUCUAGCCUGGGUGACAGAGCAAGACUCUGUCUUGA